GGCCCCGUAGCACAGUCGGUAGUGCAUCGUACUUAUAGAAUAGAGUUAUGCGAGGGUCGCGGGUUCGAUCCCCGCCGGGACCA
rfam:Entamoeba invadens IP1 unplaced genomic scaffold scaff_1105074725673, whole genome shotgun sequence.